UUUCCCACAAAGCAGGUGCUAAAUUUUUACUAAUGCCAUGUUCUCCCUGCAGAAUUUCAACAUGCAAGUGUUGCAGUUGCAGAAAUUCUCCUGCUAUGACCCCUCUGUCCUCCCAUAAAAUUAUGCCUGAAUGGAACUGAAUGGUAUGAAUUUAGGCAUUUAUACCUAAUGCUGUGGCAACUGGAAUGCGUCAAAAUGAUUAUUGGAAAGGUGACUGGACAGAGAAGAUUGUUUGAGUGACCAAAGUGAGAAAAGCCAAGGAGCAGAACUGCUGUCCCAGUGGAGAACCCUAAGGAGGAAGACUGGAUACCCAUAUUUUGUAGCUGGCACCCUCCCCUUAAGUCUGGGGUAUGGCUUCCUGUUGUGUUCCCUGCCUGGGUCCUGGGUGGAGGGAAGAAGUGUAAGAUGUGUGUCACAGCCUAAGUGGACCACAUCUGCUUAUAGUGCUGUUGGGGACUUCAGUAUACAGCUCCCAUGCUUAAACCCCCCCAAUUUGCAUAGACACUGGAAAAACACAGCUUGCCUCUCCUGCUUCAGUAGACCUGUAGUUCUACCUCAAUCCUCUGAAAUGUUGUGCCUCACUGAUGGGGGUAUGUAGUGAGUUUUAAUUAAAGACACCUUCUCAUGGAAAAUGACUGCAAACACAAACAUCAGACAGGUGAAGUGGAACCUCAAGUGAGUCACCCAGUGCUAGGGGGAAAUCCAGCAGAGCCUUACCUCUGGUCACUUUUUUCUGUUCCUGUGGUGCAGCCAACACU